GGCUCUAUAGUGUAGUGGUUAUCACCUCGGAUUCUGACUUUAGUCACAUUCCGGUAACUCCAGUUCGACUCUGGAUAGGGCCU